UGUUUUUAUUUUUUGAGGUGGUUCCAUUU
rnacentral:piRNA from 1 species